GACCGUGUGAGCUGCGGAGAUUCCUCCGCCUGAAAAGCGGAAGGUCGCCGGUUCGACCCCGGCCCUGGCCACCC
rnacentral:tRNA from 1 species